GACGAACGCUGGCGGCGUGCUUAACACAUGCAAGUCGAACGGGUCUGCCCUGUUUUUUGCGGGGUGGGUCAGUGGCGAACGGGUGAGUAACACGUGAGUAACCUGCCCCUCACUUCUGGAUAACCGCUUGAAAGGGUGGCUAAUACGGGGUGUUCUGGCUGUGCCGCAUGGUGUGGCUGAGAAAGAUUCACUUUUGUGGUGUUUUGGUGGGGGAUGGGCUCGCGGCCUAUCAGCUUGUUGGUGGGGUGAUGGCCUGCCAAGGCUUUGACGGGUAGCCGGCAUGAGAGGGUGGGCGGUCACACUGGGACUGAGAUACGGCCCAGACUCCUGCGGGAGGCAGCAGUGGGGGGUAUUGCACAAUGGGCGGAAGCCUGAUGCAGCGACGUCGCGUGAGGGAUGGAGGCCUUCGGGUUGUGAACCUCUUUCGCCGGUGAAGAAGGUCCUGCUCUUUGUGGUGGGGUUGACGGUAGCCGGGUUAUGAAGCGCCGGCUAACUACGUG
rnacentral:rRNA from 1 species